rnacentral:lncRNA from 1 species
GUCACGCUCAGCCAUGACAUCAACAACGGUGGUCUUGCUUCCUGUCCGUCCCCGAGGCAUGGCACAGUGCGGCCAGCCUCCGAGAUGGCUCCCCAGAGAUCCUGGCGUCCACACCUUUGUGUCAUCCCCUCCCACAGCCAGCAGCUCGGACCUGUGUCACCAACAGGAUACUGCGUAGGUGACAGAGUGUGACUUCCGAGCUUAGGUCAUAGGAGACAUCGCAGCUGCCGCCUUGUUCUCGCGGGUCGCUCAGUCUGGGGAAGCCAGCCGCCGUGUGGUGAGGACAUCCAAGCGGCCCUGUGGAGAGGCCCAUGUGGCCAGGAAGUGAGGCCUCUGCCAACAGCCAGUGCGAGCCUGCCACCAGGGGAGGAAGCCACCUUGGAAGAGGGUCCUCCAGCCCGAGUCCAGCCUUUGGAUGCCUGUGGCCCGGUCGACAGCCUGACACAGCCUCACGGGAAACCUGAGCUGGAACCACACAGCCCCCAAGUUCCUGACCCACAGAAACAAUGUGAGAUAACAAAUUUUCACUAUUUUAAGCCACUAAGUUUUGAAGUACUUUGUUAUGAAGCAAAAGAUAAGGAAUUCAACCCGCAUCAAUCGUCACAGCAACCUAUGAGCCAGCCAUCACCCCACGCCCAUUUUAUGGAUGAAGAACCAGGUACAGCGAGGUUGAAUAACUCACCCAGCAUCACACCGGCAGAGCCCAGACUCGCUCCCAGACAGGUGGGGGCCACAGGAUUCACUUCUGUACCACACGGUGGCUGCUGUCCCAUCCCAGUCCUCCUUGCCAGCCCCCUGGGGCCUGGAGGGGUCCCUCCCGCGGGUUGUGUGGCUCUGCAGAGGCUGACCUUG